rnacentral:lncRNA from 1 species
UUAAGCAAGCUCAAUUAAGUUUUAUUGAAGUUAUAAAAGAAAUACAAAGAAAUCCUAAAGAAAUAUAAAAGAAUAUUAAAAAAAACUUAGUUUAAUCCUAACAAAAAUCUAAUAGAAUCUUAAAUUCUAAUCAAAUCCUAAUCUUAAUCCAAUCUUAAUCAAAUCCUAGAUAAAUCCUUAAUCCUAAACCAAAUCGUAAUCAAACCUUAAUCAAAUCCUAAACCUUAAAUCAAUUUCUAACCAAAUCCUAAAUCGAACCCUAAAUCCUAAAUCUUAAAUCAAAUCCUAAACUAAAUACUAAAUCCUAAAUCCUAAACCAAAUCCUCAACCAUACCCUAAUC